AUUGAAAAUAGGAAAUUCCAUGUUUUCCCCAUCAGUUUCCUGCAAACCAAUAAUCCUAAUGAAGAUUGUCCUACGAUUCAAAAACGUGGAUCCAUAACAGCAUAAGAAGUAUGAUUUCAUACCAAAUAAGGUGAUCAACUAUGUCAGGCCGAAUGCAGUGGCGGUAGAUUGAGCUGUGCGAACAACGUCGUGCCGUUUUAAUGAAAAGGAAGGAUGUUAACUUGUUUGAGAAGUUUUGCGAUUGCAUAGACGUGAUAAACAUGAGCAUAGAGAUUCUAAUGUAGUUGUGAGAAUAAUUCUUUGUAUCUUCAUUGAUAGGCAAAAGCCUGAUUUAUACAUG